CGCGUAGACGGUUUUGUAAGUCAGAUGUGAAAUCCCUGGGCUCAACCUGGGAACUGCAUUUGAAACUGCAUGGCUAGAGUAUGGUAGAGGGAAGUGGAAUUUCCGGUGUAGCGGUGAAAUGCGUAGAUAUCGGAAGGAACACCAGUGGCGAAAGCGACUUCCUGGACCAAUACUGACGUUCAUGUGCGAAAGCGUGGGGGAGCAAACAGGAUUAGAUACCCUGGUAGUCCACGCCAUAAACGAUGACAACUAGAUGUUGGGAGGGUCUGCCUCUCGGUGUCGCAGCUAACGCGUUAAGUUGUCCGCCUGGGGAGUACGGCCGCAAGGUUGAA
rnacentral:rRNA from 1 species